CGACGGGCAAAUUAGGCUGCAUUUGAAUGAUAACCAAGUCAACUUAGUCAACGUUACAGUUUUGUUAAAACGUCUUUCAAAUAAGAGGGCGUCAGUUUUAGCUAGCUCGCUCUCCGUUGCCAAGGUUAGCUAGCUAGCUCGCUCUCCGUUGCCAAGGUUAGCUAGCUAGCUCGCUCUCCGUUGCCAAGGUUAGCUAGCUAGCUCGCUCUCCGUUGCCAAGGUUAGCUAGCUAGCUCGCUCUCCGUUGCCAAGGUUAGCCAACUCGCCGUGGCCAAGGUUAGCCAACUCGCCGUGGCCAAGGUUAGCCAGCUCGCCGUGGCCAAGGUUAGCCAGCUCGCCGUGGCCAAGGUUAGCCAGCUCGCCGUGGCCAAGGUUAGCCAGCUCGCCGUGGCCAAGGUUAGCCAGCUCGCCGUGGCCAAGGUUAGCCAGCUCGCCGUGGCCAAGGUUAGCCAGCUCGCCGUGGCCAAGGUUAGCUAACACGUUAAAAGGCAAGACCAUAGUAAUCACGAUGUUACAAGACGGCUGAUUUAAGCAGUCUAGCUAACGUUAGCUAUUAACUCAAAUCACUACAACUGUAUCCUGGUGUGCCAUUUCUUCAGUCAUGGCUUUUCA